GAAUGUAACUCAGUGGUAGAGCUCUUGCCUAGCAUGUAUGAGGCCUUAGUUCAAAGCCCAGCACCA
rnacentral:tRNA from 1 species